rnacentral:rRNA from 1 species
UACGUAGGGGGCAAGCGUUGUCCGGAUUUAUUGGGCGUAAAGAGCGUGUAGGCGGCCAGACAGGUCCGUUGUGAAAACUCGAGGCUCAACCUCGAGAUGUCGAUGGAAACCGUCUGGCUAGAGUCCGGAAGAGGAGUGUGGAAUUCCUGGUGUAGCGGUGAAAUGUGUAGAGAUCGGGAGGAACACCGGUGGCGAAGGCGGGUCUCUGGACAGUUCCUGACGCUGGGGCACGAAGGCCAGGGGAGCAAACGGG